rnacentral:lncRNA from 1 species
AAGAGUCUAAGCAAAAAUCAAUCCACCAAAUAUAUUAGAUUUACAUAGAAGCUUCAUUUCAUAUAUCACUUCUAGACAUCACUCAACUUGGAAGCCAACAUGCGGAUUAAUCAGAGUAAGUAAGAAGAGAUUGAGUACAAGAAUCGGAAACUAGUAUAUGAAUAUAGUAUUGGUAGUACUAUAGCACAUUCACAUAAAUAGGUGGAAUAAGUAACAGAAUUUAACUACCAAAAAUAAACAAUGAAACUUUCAACAUCCAAAACAAAGUGGUAAGGAAAAGAAAAGGAAGAAGUUGAGAGUAAGCAAAUUCCAUGUCGCUCCUCCUUGAAGAGACACUAGUCAAAUUCUUUGCAACAUUAUCAUGGAUAGUGUUGAAUACUGCUGCUCUAAAGCCAAAAAAAUCUUGAAAGAAUUCAGCAACAAAACUAAUUUGUCCAUUUGCUUUCAUGUUUUCUUUCUUUCUUGACUUGAUCUUUCUUUUUGCCUCAAUUUGCCAUAUCUAAUAAGUUUAUCACAUAUGUUCAAAAAAUAAUAAUAAAAUAUUAAUUGAUGUGUAAAUUUCAAUACAAAGUAACAAAAAAACAACACAAUCUAUAUUCUAAUGCAUCAAUUCAAUCUCUUGUCAGAAAUAAUUCUAUUCUAACAAAACUUUGUUUCUAUAAACUCCAUAUUUUUGGAUUAUUUCAGCAAUAUGUUUUUUAGAAGAAAUUUCCUACCUUACAACUCAUCUAUC